UAACUGACAAAACUACAAUUCUCAGAGUGCCUUUCAGAGAAGUGCCUGGCUGCAAGAACUCCUGGUUUGUGCCUUCUGCCUGAUUUGAGUCCCUGCUCCAAGGAGUUUGCAGACUUGAUGGUCCUCAAGUCUCCUGUGAUGAAAGAACCAUUGUUCUGUCUACUUGGCUUUCUUCAGCAUUCAGAGACUGAAUGACUCACCCAGAAGGAGCUGGGGACACCCAGGCCAGAUGGAGUCCCUUCUGCUGUUUAAGAAAUUCAAGGAGGGUUAAGUAACCUUACUGGACAACCAUUGAGGGCAGAGACUGUACCCAUCCUAUAGGGUUUUCCAAGUUUGUGGUCUCAAACAUUCUGUGGACCUCCAAGGGCAGAGUUCUCACUAAAGCCUAUGUUUCUGAAACAGAUUUCAUAAAAUAAUUUUUAAUGUACAUUUUUACUUCAAG
rnacentral:lncRNA from 1 species